UAUACUUCAUUGAACUCUGAGAACUAUCUUUGUACCCUUUGUAGUCCUUGGGGGAUUUUCCAAAACGUUAAUGGAAGGACAGUCUGAUGACAAGAUUCCUCAUGAAGAGGAGGAAGACUGUCCAUAAAAUAUGCCAUGAGCAAAGACAAGGAAACAAGACUGCAGAUGCAUUCUGUGGUUCCAGGAAUUCAGAAGCAUAGUCUCAGCCCUCCUGUGUCUGACUGAGAGGCACAUAAGGAAAUCAUCACAAUACAAGGUGUCAGUCAAGGCCAUUUCCUGACCAGCAUGGAAAGUCUGCCCCACUCUCUCCAGAAAGCCUCAUUAUUUUGUAGAUGAGGAAACAGACACUGAGGCACAGAGAGGUUAAGUCGCUUGCUCAAAGUCACACAGACCGACCUGUUGUGAUGGCCCCUUUUCCAUAUCCAGUAGAGG